rnacentral:rRNA from 1 species
AGAAACAUUCUUGUAACAGCCAGUAAGAUAAGGUAAUAUACCUUGUCAAUGAAUUUGAGAAGAGAUUAAACUUUUAAAUUUAGAGUUUGAUCCUGGCUCAGGACGAACGCUGGCGGCGUGCUUAACACAUGCAAGUCGAGCGAUGAAGCUUCCUUCGGGAAGUGGAUUAGCGGCGGACGGGUGAGUAACACGUGGGUAACCUGCCUCAAAGUGGGGGAUAGCCUUCCGAAAGGAAGAUUAAUACCGCAUAAUAUAAGAGAAUCGCAUGAUUUUUUUAUCAAAGAUUUAUUGCUUUGAGAUGGACCCGCGGCGCAUUAGCUAGUUGGUAAGGUAACGGCUUACCAAGGCAACGAUGCGUAGCCGACCUGAGAGGGUGAUCGGCCACAUUGGAACUGAGACACGGUCCAGACUCCUACGGGAGGCAGCAGUGGGGAAUAUUGCGCAAUGGGGGAAACCCUGACGCAGCAACGCCGCGUGGGUGAUGAAGGUCUUCGGAUUGUAAAGCCCUGUUUUCUAGGACGAUAAUGACGGUACUAGAGGAGGAAGCCACGGCUAACUACGUGCCAGCAGCCGCGGUAAUACGUAGGUGGCGAGCGUUGUCCGGAUUUACUGGGCGUAAAGGGUGCGUAGGCGGAUGUUUAAGUGGGAUGUGAAAUCCCCGGGCUUAACCUGGGGGCUGCAUUCCAAACUGGAUAUCUAGAGUGCAGGAGAGGAAAGCGGAAUUCCUAGUGUAGCGGUGAAAUGCGUAGAGAUUAGGAAGAACACCAGUGGCGAAGGCGGCUUUCUGGACUGUAACUGACGCUGAGGCACGAAAGCGUGGGUAGCAAACAGGAUUAGAUACCCUGGUAGUCCACGCCGUAAACGAUGGAUACUAGGUGUAGGGGGUAUCAACUCCCCCUGUGCCGCAGUUAACACAAUAAGUAUCCCGCCUGGGGAGUACGGUCGCAAGAUUAAAACUCAAAGGAAUUGACGGGGGCCCGCACAAGCAGCGGAGCAUGUGGUUUAAUUCGAAGCAACGCGAAGAACCUUACCUGGACUUGACAUCCCUUGCAUAGCCUAGAGAUAGGUGAAGCCCUUCGGGGCAAGGAGACAGGUGGUGCAUGGUUGUCGUCAGCUCGUGUCGUGAGAUGUUAGGUUAAGUCCUGCAACGAGCGCAACCCUUGUUAUUAGUUGCUACCAUUAAGUUGAGCACUCUAAUGAGACUGCCUGGGUAACCAGGAGGAAGGUGGGGAUGACGUCAAAUCAUCAUGCCCCUUAUGUCCAGGGCUACACACGUGCUACAAUGGUAGGUACAAUAAGACGCAAGACCGUGAGGUGGAGCAAAACUUAUAAAACCUAUCUCAGUUCGGAUUGUAGGCUGCAACUCGCCUACAUGAAGCUGGAGUUGCUAGUAAUCGCGAAUCAGAAUGUCGCGGUGAAUACGUUCCCGGGCCUUGUACACACCGCCCGUCACACCAUGAGAGCUGGUAACACCCGAAGUCCGUGAGGUAACCGUAAGGAGCCAGCGGCCGAAGGUGGGAUUAGUGAUUGGGGUGAAGUCGUAACAAGGUAGCCGUAGGAGAACCUGCGGCUGGAUCACCUCC